GAUAAAUCCAGGGAUGCAACCUAUUCUGUGAUUGAACUUAAAAACAUGAGGAAGGAUGAUGAAGCCCACCAGAACGCUCUUUACUCGACUGUGGAGAUGGCAUCAGCUGCAGAUGAUAACCUGACGUAUGCCCAGGUACACACCAAAAUGAACGCAGAGAAAG